GACAUAGGUGGCGAACGUUAUCCGGAAUUAUUGGGCGUAAAGGGUGCGUAGACGGUUUGGUAAGUUAGCAGCGGGAAAUCGAGGCCCAACCUCGUGGAAGUUGUUAAUACUGCCAUACUCGAGUACAGAAAAGGUUAACGGAACUCAAUGUGGAGCGGUAAAAAUGCGUCAAAUAUAUUGAAGAACACCAAUAACGGCGAAGGCAGUUAACUGUUCUGUUACUGACGUUGAGGCACGAAAAGCGUGGGGGAGCAAAAAAGG
rnacentral:rRNA from 1 species